GCCCGGGUGGUGAAACAGGUAGACACAGGGGCCUUAAAAGCCCCUUCCCUCCAGGGAGUGCCGGUUCGAAUCCGGCCCCGGGCA
rnacentral:tRNA from 1 species